rnacentral:sRNA from 1 species
AUGCCCACAUUUAUGCCACCCGCCUCAUCCAAAUGAGACCCUUCCUGGAGAACCGGGCCCAGCAGCACUGGGGUAGUGGAGUGGGAGUGAAGAAGCUGUGUGAACUGCAGCCUGAGGAGAAGUGCUGUGUGGUGGGCACUCUGUUCAAGGCCAUGCCGCUGCAGCCCUCCAUCCUGCGGGAGAUCAGCGAGGAGCACAACCUGCUCCCCCAGCCUCCUCGGAGUAAAUACAUACACCCAGAUGACGAGCUGGUCUUGGAAGAUGAACUGCAGCGUAUCAAACUAAAAGGCACCAUUGACGUGUCAAAGCUGGUUACGGGUAGGGAGCCCAAUGAGAGGAUGUGGGUGAUGCAGGUGAAGAGCCCAGCGGUGGUGUGUUAGGGAUGGUGUGAGUGGGGAGCCUGGGGGGAGUGGGGGGGUG